GCACUGCUGAGGAGUUCCACAAUAGGACGAAACGGCCGUCCAGCGC
rfam:Schistosoma margrebowiei strain Zambia genome assembly, scaffold: SMRZ_contig0001037